UACGGGGGGGGCAAGCGUUGUUCGGAAUUACUGGGCGUAAAGGGCUCGCAGGCGGCCAACUAAGUCGGACGUGAAAUCCCCAGGCUCAACCUGGGAACUGCGUCGGAUACUGGAUGGCUUGAAUUCGGGAGAGGGAUGCAGAAUUCCAGGUGUAGCGGUGAAAUGCGUAGAUAUCUGGAGGAAUACCGGUGGCGAAGGCGGCCUUCUGGACAGUGACUGACGCUGAGACGCGAAAGCGUGGGGAGCAAACAGG
rnacentral:rRNA from 1 species